rnacentral:rRNA from 1 species
AGUGAACGCUGGCGGUAGGCCUAACACAUGCAAGUCGAACGGCAGCACAGUAAGAGCUUGCUCUUACGGGUGGCGAGUGGCGGACGGGUGAGGAAUACAUCGGAAUCUACUUUUUCGUGGGGGAUAACGUAGGGAAACUUACGCUAAUACCGCAUACGACCUACGGGUGAAAGCAGGGGAUCUUCGGACCUUGCGCGAUUGAAUGAGCCGAUGUCGGAUUAGCUAGUUGGCGGGGUAAAGGCCCGCCAAGGCGACGAUCCGUAGCUGGUCUGAGAGGAUGAUCAGCCACCCUGGAACUGAGACACGGUCCAGACUCCUACGGGAGGCAGCAGUGGGGAAUAUUGGACAAUGGGCGCAAGCCUGAUCCAGCCAUACCGCGUGGGUGAAGAAGGCCUUCGGGUUGUAAAGCCCUUUUGUUGGGAAAGAAAAGCAGCAGGUUAAUACCCCGCUGUUCUGACGGUACCCAAAGAAUAAGCACCGGCUAACUUCGUG